rnacentral:lncRNA from 1 species
GCUAAGAUGAAAUAAACUUAGCAGUGCAUGUACCCUUGUUUUGACAUAAAAAUAAUAGAAUAAAUCUUUUCUUUGCGCUCCAGCUUUGCAUUGUGGCUGUCUUGGUGUUACCCACAUGAAUUUGGUUCACACAAGGCCUGGAAGAGGUCAGGAUUCCAUUAUAAAGCAGAGACCACAGUCAGCUGCAUUGGCAUCUGCAAAGGCAGAAGAUACCAAGAUAGGUGCAGUCCCAAGACUCAGUUUUAGGCCAGGGGAAAGAUUUUAGCAUCUUUUCUACACUCCAUAGAAGAUUGUGUGUCUUGGCAUGCCUGUUGGAAAAGUGCUGCAAGCAUCCAAGUCUGAAUGAGGCUCGUGGUGAGGAAACCAGACCUUCAAAUGGAGGAGAAGGGGUGAGAAUGGAAAUGUCUUCUUGGUCUUUUCUGUGGUACCUGAAGAUCCCCACCAACCUUUUGCAAGGCAGUGGACAACAAACCCUGACUGGAAAAAUACUGUAGUCUUUCUGAUGCUAGCAGAGAAACCCAGCAAAGUAUUGUCUUCUUCUGGGCUGCUUCAUGGCAUCUUCA